rnacentral:rRNA from 1 species
AGACAGCAGUAGCCACGGUAAUACGAAGGGUGCAAGCGUUACUCGGAAUUACUGGGCGUAAAGCGUGCGUAGGUGGUGGUUUAAGUCCGUUGUGAAAGCCCUGGGCUCAACCUGGGAAUUGCAGUGGAUACUGGGUCACUAGAGUGUGGUAGAGGAUAGUGGAAUUUCCGGUGUAGCAGUGAAAUGCGUAGAGAUCGGAAGGAACAUCUGUGGCGAAGGCGACUAUCUGGGCCAACACUGACACUGAGGCACGAAAGCGUGGGGAGCAAACAGGAUUAGAUACCCCCGUAGUCCCUGUCUCUUAUAA